UCUCAACCAAUUCUAUACUAUAAUUUUUGUCACAAAGUGACUCUAAUUGCAGGUAGAUACAGGUAAAUUCAACAAAAUAUAAAAUUAUUAAAAUUUUGUUCAAACAUCGCUAUAGAAAAUGGGUUAUUAGCUAAUACUCAAUUGGGUAUACAAUUAAAUUAUACGAUAGAAUCCCUUA